GGCCCGGUGGUGUAGUGGUUUAACACGCCCCAGCCCUGCUGGGGAGCCGCAGGUUCAAAUCCUGUCUGGGCCA